rnacentral:rRNA from 1 species
AAUGCUAAAAGAAUGGAAAUUUAAAAAAAAACUUUUUUAAAAAUAAAAAUUGAAUUUUUUUUAAUUUGUGCAAAAACAAUUAUUAUUAUUAAAGACAAGAAGACCCUAAGAAUUUAUGAUUUUGCAAUUAGAAUUUUUUUCAAAAAAUCUUGAUUGGGGCGAUCAAAAAAUAUUAAUAACUUUUUAAAUUUAAAUUGAUCUAUUAUUAAUAAACUAAUGAAUUAAAUACUCUAGGGAUAACAGCGU